rnacentral:rRNA from 1 species
AUUUUCCGCAAUGGGCGCAAGCCUGACGGAGCAACGCCGCGUGGGUGAGGACGGCUUUCGGGUUGUAAAACUCUGUUCUUCGGGAAGAACGGUCGAAGGGUGAACAAUCCUUUGCCGUGACGGUACCGGAGGAGAAAGCCCCGGCUAACUACGUGCCAGCCGCCGCGGUAAUACGUAGGGGGCAAGCGUUGUCCGGAAUUAUUGGGCGUAAAGCGCGCGCAGGCGGCCUGUUAAGUCUGGUGUGAAAGACCACGGCUCAACCGUGGGGUGGCAUCAGAAACUGGCGGGCUUGAGUGCAGGAGAGGAGAGUGGAAUGCCCGGUGUAGCGGUGGAAUGCGUAGAGAUCGGGAGGAACACCAGUGGCUAAGGCGACUCUCUGGCCUGUAACUGACGCUGAGGCGCGAAAGCGUGGGGAGCGAACAGG